ACGCUCGACACCACGGAGGCAGCAGUGGGGAAUAUUGCACAAUGGGGGAAACCCUGAUGCAGCGACGCCGCGUGGAGGAAGAAGGUCUUCGGAUUGUAAACUCCUGUUGUUGGGGAAAAAGAGGAUGGUACCCAACAAGGAAGUGACGGCUAACUACGUGCUAGCAGCCGCGGUAAUCUGAGCGGGCUGGCAAGGC
rnacentral:rRNA from 1 species